CCCCUAGAUGUUCUGGGCCGCACGCGCGCUACACUGAACAGUUCAACAAGUCUUAACCUUGGCCGAUAGGUCUGGGUAAUCUUUGAACGCUGUUCGUGAUUGGGAUAGACCUUUGCAAUUAUGGGUCUUCAACGAGGAAUUCCUAGUAAACGCAAGUCAUCAGCUUGCAUUGAUUACGUCCCUGCCCUUUGUACACACCGCCCGUCGCACCUACCGAUUGAAUGGUCCGGUGAAAUCUCGGGACGGCGGCUCGGUCGCUUGCGUCCGACUGCUGAAACUUGAUUAAACCAUAUCAUUUAGAGGAAGGGGAAGUCGUAACA
rnacentral:rRNA from 1 species